rnacentral:piRNA from 1 species
UAUGGAUCCUACAGAAGCCUGUUAUCC